rnacentral:sRNA from 1 species
UACUUACUCGUAUUUCUAGCUAAGCAUACACACACACAUACACAUACACAUACACACAUUGAAACGUUGGCGGAAAUCAUUUAAGCUGCCAAAUCAGCCAAGCAGCUGGGCCAAAGCUGGCGUCAAGCUGAAGGUAUUAUUAAGGUAGUGACUGCGGCUGAGGCUGUGGCAGCGGCAGCAGAAUGGCCAGAUGCCGGGGCAAAAAAGGCGAUUAAUAUUCAUUCAGUGUCGCGCGUAUAUCACUUUUUAUUUGCACAGCCAACGAGCGCGCGCCGGCAAGUAUGCAAUGGAAUUCGCCGCACGCAGCAGCAGGUGAGCCAGCCAGCAUGUGUGUGUGCGUGUGUUGCGCGUGUUGAUGUGUAUGAGUAACGCACAAUUACAUACAACAAUUUGUGCUUUGUUUCUGUGCACGUCCGUGUGACUAGCCACCGUACCCAGCUCCCAAAUCGCCAAAGAGCAAUCGUGCAGCAACAGACCAGACCAAACCCCAACAGAACCAAAGCGGACCAGCACAAGAGCCGACUCGGUCUUUGCGUGUAUGUUUGCGAUUGUGUGUGUGUGUGUGUGUCUGUGUGUGUGUGAAAAUCUCUUCGCUUUUGGACGCCCGCUUCCCCAAGGAGACGAGCACUUCAAAUUGGAUGCCCAAACAUCAAGUCAGCGUGCUGCGAGUCUGCCAAGACGAAAGCACUUGCAGAUGCAAUUUCGCAGCCUUUCGAUGCCCGUUGCUCUAUGCCCGAUGCUAGAGCAUUUUUCGGUUUCUAUGUGAAAAUUGAGAAAAAUUGCCAAACGACUUGACACUGCCAGCAAGUCACAAAGGCAGAAACGAUGUUGCGUCAAAUCAAAUGAAAUUCGACUGCUGUCCAGCGUGUUGCGUUACAGUUGAAAUGUGGGCGGGCCAAUGGGCACGGCCCACAAAAUUACCACUGGGAUCAGAGCAAAUGACGCGAAACAGUCACACGAGCAGGACCAAAGCAGAGAGUGAGCGAGAGAUUGUGGGCGGUAAAGCGAGUAGCAGCAACAACAAAAACAUGCCUUACAUAACAAGUAACGGGUACUCCAGUUGAUAUUGGCCGACUAGAAGAUGCCCUGUACUUAUGUGCGCAUAAAGAUCAAGGCUAUGCUAUCAUACAUUUGCUGCCUCUAGCACAGCCCCCAGUAAGGAGAAGAGCCAGGCCAACAAUGGACGUCUUCAGUUUCAAUGGCCCGUUUAGCUACUGCUGCCUGCUUUGCUGCUGGCUCGUAAGCUGAGACUGAUUGUGGGGCCGUUGUAAGUCGUAUCCAGAUAAAUGCCGCAUCAUUGGUUAUUUAUAUGCGUGCAUCGCAGCGGGGCACAGUGGCUCAAGCUGCUGUGCCAGCCACCUGGCCCUUAUCCAACUCUUACCUGAGCUCAAACGAUAUAUUUAUUUGAUUUCAUUGAUGAAUGUACGUAACCGCUUGGAAGUAUUUUCGUCAUGGCUACCGCUCCAGUGGCUUAUGUCGUCUCCUUAACCUAACUUGCCCCGGCAAUGUGCAUAGUUUCAGUUUUGAU